rnacentral:rRNA from 1 species
UACGUAGGUGGCGAGCGUUGUCCGGAAUUAUUGGGCGUAAAGAGCAUGUAGGCGGCUUAAUAAGUCGAGCGUGAAAAUGCGGGGCUCAACCCCGUAUGGCGCUGGAAACUGUUAGGCUUGAGCGCAGGAGAGGAAAGGGGAAUUCCCAGUGUAGCGGUGAAAUGCGUAGAUAUUGGGAGGAACACCAGUGGCGAAGGCGCCUUUCUGGACUGUGUCUGACGCUGAGAUGCGAAAGCCAGGGUAGCGAACGGG